CUGCAACCAAGAUUUUAUUGCCAUCCUAAUCCAAGGAAAUAUGCUGGGUGAAAAGAAAACAUAAGGUCUCUGAGGAGUAAACUCCCCAGAACUUGGAUUAAUAACAACCA